UGCCGUCUGCAUGCUGUUGAGUAAAAGCAGAUUUCAAAAAAAAAAAAAAAAACAAAACAGGAAACACACACAAAAAACAAUAACAGAAAAAAACCACCAUUGGGUCACUUGUGAACGCAACAAUCAUUUAAUCCCUUUGUUUUUCCAGGUGGAGUGGAUGAUAGUGGCUGCACUGUUGGAGCUUGGUUUCGGAGAGGAACAGCUGAUGAUGAGCCUGGCAAUUGACUAAGAUGACAAUCGGUGCCUGUGUAUUUCUUGAGGUGGAAGGAAUUUACCAUCCAACAACCUGAGAGCUAAGUUGGGGGGCGCCUGGUAUUUGCAUA